rnacentral:rRNA from 1 species
CGAGCGGCGAACGGGUGAGUAAUGUUUCGGUAUCUGCCCAAUGGUGGGGAAUAACCAGCCGAAAGGUUGGCUAAUACCGCAUAAGUCCUACGGGAGAAAGCGGGGGAUCGCAAGACCUCGCGCCGAUGGAUGAGCCGAAACCGGAUUAGCUAGUUGGUAGGGUAACGGCCUACCAAGGCGACGAUCCGUAGCUGGUCUGAGAGGACGACCAGCCACACUGGGACUGAGACACGGCCCAGACUCCUACGGGAGGCAGCAGUGGGGAAUAUUGGACAAUGGGGGAAACCCUGAUCCAGCGACGCCGCGUGUGUGAAGAAGGCCUGCGGGUUGUAAAGCACUUUUAGUGGGGAUGAAAAGCUCAGGGCUAAUACCGCUGAGUCUUGACCUAACCCAAAGAAAAAGCACCGGCUAACUCUGU